CCUACGGGGUGCAGCAGUGGGGAAUUUUCCACAAUGGGCGAAAGGCUGACCCAGCGACGCCGCGUGUGGGAGGAAGCCCUUCGGGGUGUAAACCACUGUCAGGAGGGACGAACGAGGGGGGAGGGAAUACUUCUCCUCUGUGACGGUACCUCCAAAGGAAGCGCCGGCUAACUCUGUGCCAGCAGCCGCGGUAAGACAGAGGGCGCGAGCGUUGUUCGGAAUCACUGGGCGUAAAGCGCGCGCAGGCGGAUCUGUGCGUCUGGAGUGAAAUCCCGCCGCUCAACGGCGGGGCUGCUUUGGAAACGGCAGGUCUGGGGACCGGUAGAGGUCGGUAGAAUUCCCGGUGUAGCGGUGGAAUGCGUAGAGAUCGGGAAGAAUACCCGUGGCGAAGGCGGCCGACUGGGCCGGAUCCGACGCUGAGGCGCGAAAGCGUGGGGAGCAAACAGGAUUAGAUACCCGAGUAGUC
rnacentral:rRNA from 1 species